AAUGGUGGGAACUCUGUGCUUGUAGUCACACUCACUGGUAGGCAACAUGCUAAGAACCUGGGCAGAGAUAUAUUCAUGGAGCAUGAGCAGGAUAGCCCUGACUCAAGCCUGAGACCUUGAAGAGCUGCUUCCAGUCAUGUGACAGAGACACAGAAACCUUGAUCAAGAAUAUGGCUCAGCUAGAGAUCUCUGUGUCAUGGCCAGUGUUCUCCUGGGCACACGCUUCUCCUUAUACAGCUGAUGGUGAUUCUUCGGACACUAUCUCAGCAACAGCUGUUUUUAGAAUGCAGAACCUCAAGCCUAGGGGGACAAACCUAGCCUGUCUGGAGUUCCAAAAAGGCUAGGCCACCCCCUGUGGCACCACUUCCUUUCUUCCAACCAAACAUCAAUCUUUUUGGUGGACUUUAACCUUUUGUGCAUUUUUCUUUCCAUUAUAAAUGAUCUAAAUGCUAGUCAUAAGACUUAGUGGCAAAAAGAGCUUUAAAGUAAAAUGUACUGGUAUUUUUGGCCUCACACACUACUACAAUCCAGCCCCCAAGAACUUUUCUGACAUUGCAUUCACCCCUUGGGUUAAAGGAGACUCUGCACCUGAUGUAAAGAAUACUAAGAAUAGAUGAA